rnacentral:tRNA from 1 species
UAGGUUGUAGCUAAAUUUAAGUGCUCCAUUUACGCUGGGGUGAUUGCCCGGCAGGCACCUCCUAA